rnacentral:tRNA from 1 species
GCGGCUGUAGCUCAAUGGCAGAGCUCCUGCCUUCCAAGCAGGUGACGCGGGUUCGAUCCCCGUCAGCCGCU